rnacentral:tRNA from 1 species
GGUGUUGUGGCUCAACGGUAGAGCACUCGCCUCGCACAUGCGAGACCCUGGGUUCAAUCCUCAGCACCACAU